UAAAGAAGUCUUUUUAUUUUUUAUUUUAUUUUUUUUUGAGAUGGAGUCUUGCUUUGUCACCCAGACUGGAGUGCAGUGGUGUGAUCUCGGCUCACUGCAACCUCUGCCUCCCAGGUUCAAGCGAUUCUCCUCCCUCAACCUCCCAAGUAGCUGGUAUUACAGGCAUGCACCACCAUGCCUGGCUAAUUUUGGCUAAUUUUUCUAUUUUUGUAGAGACGUGUUUCAGCAUGUUGGCCCGGCUG
rnacentral:lncRNA from 10 species